ACAAAAAAUUUUUCUAAUUCUUCUUAAUUAUCAUCUAUAUAUUGAUCUAUCAUUAAAUUUAAAUUAAAUAUGUUAAAUUACAUUCAAAUAAUUCAUUAACAACUAUAUAUAAAAAAUAAAUUAAAUGAAAUUCAAAGUGUAAUUUCCACUUAAAGAACAAGAUUCUUUAAUAAUUAAGUACCGCCAAAUAAACUAACUUUAACUAUUACAUUAAUUACUAUUUAAAUUUCAUUAAUUUUUCUAGGGUAUCUAAUCCUAUUAACUUAAAUUAAUUAAAAUUGAAAAUUCAUAAUCAAAUUAAAAUCUAAAAAUUUCACUUAAAUAUUUUAAUUAAAAUCAAACCUAAAUUUCAAGUACAAAGAAAUUUUAAUUUCACCAAUCAUGUAUAA
rnacentral:rRNA from 1 species